rnacentral:rRNA from 1 species
GACGUAGGGGGCCAGCGUUGUUCGGAAUUACUGGGUGUAAAGGGUUCGUAGGCGGUGUGGCAAGUCGGGAGUGAAAUCUCUGGGCUCAACUCAGAGACUGCUUCCGAAACUGCUGUGCUGGAGUGUGGGAGAGGCGCGUGGAAUUGCAGGUGUAGCGGUGAAAUGCGCAGAUAUCAAGGAGGAACACCGGUGGCGAAGGCGGGUCUCUGGGCCGAUACUGACGCUGAGGAGCGAAAGCGUGGGGAGCGAACAGG